UGAACGGUCGUCAGUACUGGCACUGGACGACAUGGUUAUUUAUGUCCUAUAUGGCCAAGUCGUCCAGUGCCAGUACUGACGACCGUUCA
rnacentral:miRNA from 1 species